GACGAACGCUGGCGGCGUGCUUAACACAUGCAAGUCGAACGGGAAGAGAUGAAGAGCUUGCCCUUUAUCGAAUCCAGUGGCAAACGGGUGAGUAACACGUAAACAACCUGCCUUCAGGAUGGGGACAACAGACGGAAACGACUGCUAAUACCGAAUACGUUCCACGGGCCGCAUGACCUGUGGAAGAAAGGGUAGCCUCUACCUGUAAGCUAUCGCCUGAAGAGGGGUUUGCGUCUGAUUAGGCAGUUGGUGGGGUAACGGCCCACCAAACCAACGAUCAGUAGCCGGUCUGAGAGGAUGAACGGCCACACUGGAACUGAGACACGGUCCAGACUCCUACGGGAGGCAGCAGUGGGGAAUCUUCCGCAAUGGACGAAAGUCUGACGGAGCAACGCCGCGUGAGUGAAGACGGCCUUCGGGUUGUAAAGCUCUGUGAUCCGGGACGAAAGAGCCUUGGGUAAAUAGCCUAAGGAAGUGACGGUACCGGAAAAGCAAGCCACGGCUAACUACGUGCCAGCAGCCGCGGUAAUACGUAGGUGGCAAGCGUUGUCCGGAAUUAUUGGGCGUAAAGCGCGCGCAGGCGGCUUCCUAAGUCCAUCUUAAAAGUGCGGGGCUUAACCCCGUGAUGGGAUGGAAACUGGGAAGCUGGAGUAUCGGAGAGGAAAGUGGAAUUCCUAGUGUAGCGGUGAAAUGCGUAGAGAUUAGGAAGAACACCGGUGGCGAAGGCGACUUUCUGGACGAAAACUGACGCUGAGGCGCGAAAGCGUGGGGAGCAAACAGG
rnacentral:rRNA from 1 species